rnacentral:siRNA from 1 species
UUGGUAGACACGCUGCUCUUA